GCUGCUAGAAGUCACCAGCAAGGAGCAGGCGCGCGAACAAAAGUCGCCCCCGCGAGAAUCAGAGGGUCUGCUCCGCGCCCGCUCCGGGUCCCUCGGGGGCAGCGACGCGCGGGCGGAGAUAGAGCCAGACCCUGAGAGACAGAGAGAAAAGUCUUCCUUCCGUUGGUUCACCCCGCAAAGGGCCACUGUGCCGAUACAAAGCCAGGAGCCAGGUGCUUCCUCCUGGUCUCCCAUGUGGGUGCAGGGCCCAAGCACUUGGGCUAUCCCCCACUGCCUUCUCGGGCCACAGCAGAGAGCUGCACUGGAAGAGGAGCAUCCAGGACUAGAACCGGGUGUCCUAUGGGAUGCCGGUGCCGCAGGCAGAGGAUUAACCAGCUUGGAUUCCUUUAUCAAAGAUGAAUACCAGAUUGUCUUGAUUGCUGUAGCCUAAUGGAAAACAGCACCCUGGCAAAUCCACAGUCUGAGUUUGAGGAGCAUCUUCAUUGUUCUCAAGAUGGACAUCAAAGGAGGAAGCCUCGUGAAGAGCUUGCUGUGGAGUCAUUACAUCUCUGCCCGUGUCCUUACACUGCACUCUGAUAAGUCUACAACAUAGAGAGUAUCUCUGAAUGUAGUGACAGUUUCUCUUUAUUUAGAACUCUUUCCAGUGAUGUUCCAUUUCCUUAACAGCCACUGCUUGUCUGUGAAGCACAAUGAAUCUUUGAACAUGCUUUGGCAACAGCUUUUCCACUAUUCCUGGGUUUCUUCCGCCAUUGCUUUUACAUCAUCGAUACAGAUGUCUCUGUAUCUUUGCCAAUUUAUUUGAUGGUGUGUUUAAAACUGAUCUAAACACUUAAGAAUCCAUUCUUCUGUUGUCUUUGUGUCAAAUGCUUUAUGAAGCAAUAAAUCAACCUAGACAAACUUGUUAUACACUCUGCAAACAUCUUUACUCUUUCCCCAUGAACCAUGAAUAUUUCUUAUAUCUUUGCCUAAGGACUAAUUUUUCAAGUAUGUUCAGAGUAUGUUCCUGGGACCAACAUACCAAAUGAUGUUACUGAUUGUAAUUCUGCAAGUUUAUUCAUCCCUUGUACUUACUGCUUUAUUAGCUAAUAGUGGUAAGUUCAUAUCUAACAACAUAUAAUUCUUUUUUGUGUGCAAUGUUGUAACUUAUUUUUAGGGAUCUUUUGAACUUAUUAAUAUUAGAGCAAGGUUGGUAAGUCAAAAUUUCUUUUAUACCAACAGUUUUUAGUUUUGUUGUUCCACUUACAUCACCUUUCUCUGGUAUACCCGCUUGGAUCCACCUGGGAGAGUUCUUUUUUUUUUUUUUAAAUGUAUUUAUUUUAUUUGAAAGGCAGAGUUACAGAGAGGCAGAGAGGCAGAGAGAGAGAUAGAGAGAGAGAGAGAGAGGUAGAGAGAGAGAGAGGGAGAGAGAGAGAGAGAGAUUUCUUCCAUCUGCUGCUUCACUCCCCAGAUAGCUGCAGUGGCCGGAGCUAUGUUGAUCCAAAGCCAGGAGCCAGGAGCUUCUUCUGGAUCUCCCACAAUGGGUGCAGGGGCCCAAGGACUUGAGCCAUCUUUUGCUGCUUCUGGGAGAGUCUUAUUCCAGAAAUGUUAUCCUAUAUUUUCAUUUCAACAAUUUUUCCUACCCACUCAGCCUAAAGAUGCAACAUCACUUCCAGCUCCUUUUGACAGAGGGGUUCAAAGCUUUAGGUUUCCCUCAUCAUCUGUAUAAUCCUAUGCCACCUUAAAAAUAUAGAAAAUAAUCCUUCUGAGGUAACUGAGCCACUAGGUCAUUUGCCUCAAAGUAACCAGCUUGGCUUUGAAAAAAUACAUAAAGAUUGGCCAUUUCAGCUCUGAGAUGCAAAAAGCUUGGAAGCUCUCAUUCCAGUCCUUACAAGGAGAAAAGUACUGAACAGACAGAAAACCAGUGCCUUUCCUUGGACCUCUGAACCAAUAGAGGUUACUGGAACAGUGGUCACUGGGACAUAUGGAGAGACAAGGUGCUAGAGGAAAUCACAGCCCAGUCCUGUCCACCUGGAGCAGAAGCUGCUGGAGUCACUGAUCGAACAGUGGAGUGGUGAUUGUGAUGAAUCGGUGGAGGCCGAGUGGUGACUAGUUUGAGAGAGAAACUCAUGGGACCCCAGUCUUAGGGGGUCUUCAUGCUUUCGUGAUUUCUACCUCCAGGAACCUCGCCAAGUUCAACAAAAGCCCUCUCCCAUUUGUGGCAAGAGAGGAACAACAACCCUAUGAAAUAUGUUCAACAUUCUCUACAGCAAAGGCCUGCUGUGCACGGAAAAGAGCUUCACCAGAGCUGCAUCGACCUGAGGAGGAAGUAGGCUACCCCACCUCCCUUUAGCCCUUCCACCUUUCCUUGGGGAAGAAAAGAAAAGGCUAACAAAUGCUUCUGAAGGUCACAGCUCGAGAACAUAUGGCCACAUAAAGAAUGAGUUGUAAUCAUAACAUUACAGAACACUUCCCCUUCCCACACCUGAUGAUGACAUUAAUGGGGCUCCAGAGCAUCAAAAUACAUGAGGCAAAACCUGAUAGAACUGCAGAGGAAAGUAGAGAAAUCCAUGACUGCAGCUGGAGGUUUCAGUACUUCCUUUCUUUCCAAUGGCCAGAAAAUCAGUAAAGAUAUAUUUGAACUAUAGAGCUCCUUCAAUCAACUGUGUAGCUCCAUCAGUCAGUCUGUUUUCUGUGGCUAUAACAAAGUACCCAAGGCUGGUUGCUUUAAUUAAAUGAGGAUAAUUCAGCUCACAGUUUUAGAGGCUGGAAAUCCAAAAUCAAAUGGCUCCCAUCAGUUCAGCCUCUGUUAAGAGCCCCCUCAGCUAUGUUAUAACUUAGCUGGGAAGCAGGAACAGAUACAGGCUGUGUGCAGGAGAAGCCAACAGCAUGGGGUGGGCUCACUUUAUCACAGCCCCUGUCACCAAGCUAAGCAGCAUUCCAUCAGGAAUAUGUUAAUCUUUUCUGAGGGUAACACCCUCAAUGACCAAAGCACCUUCCACUAGUCCUCAUCUCUUAAAGGUUCUACCACCUUCAAAUAGCACCCUACUGGGCAAGAAGCCACCAACACAUGAACCCUUGGAAGAAAAACCAUGUCCAAAUCAUGUAGAAACUGGAUCUAGCUGAUGUUUGGAAAUUAUAUCACCCAAUAAUAUACUUUUUUUCUGGUCAGAUUUGGAAAAUUCAUGUUGGAACACUGAGCAAUACAGACAACGUUUUGGACGUCAAAUCUAGUAGAAGUCAUACAAAGUUUGUUCUCAGACUGCAAUGGAAUUAAAUUGCAAAUCAAUAAUAGGAAGAUAGCUGUAAAAUCUGAGAAUGUUCAGAGAAUACAUAGCAAAAUUCUAAGGAACACAUGAAGAAGUCUCAAAUAUUUUUAACUGAAUAAAAAGCAAAAAGGAAAUUGUGCUUAUCAAAGUGUGUGGGACAUAAUGAAAGCAACUCAUUGAGUGAAAUUUAUAGCACUGAAAGCAUACAUUAGUAAAGAAAAUAAAAAGUUGCCAUUUUUUGCUUCUACUGUAGCAAACUAGAGAAAAAAAUCCAUGUAAAGCAAGCAAAAGAAAAGAUAGAAAAAUUAGAAUGUAAAUCAAUGAAAUUGAAAACAGAAAAUCAGUAGAGAAAAUCAAUGACACCAAAAUAAAUAAAUAAAAAGGGUAACGGAUCUUGUUUUCUGAUACCAUUGUCAUUAAAAUAAUGCUUACUCCUGGGAGAAAGAGCUGUUUCUAGGACUGAGGCAGGAAAUAAACAAGAUGAGCCUAAAGCAUCGUGUAGUACCAGAAAAGUAAUGAAGUGCUUAAAACCAACAAACAAAACCUUUGAAAAGCAAAAAUAAACUCCCACACAUUGAUGGAGGGUGCCAGAGGGCAUAGGAGCCAACAGAAUGAUCUUCCAGUGCCCAAAGAUGGAAAUUUUGUGCAAUAAAAUAAAGUAAUAUUGGAUUCCAACCCAAAGUACAAAAUAAACAUCCAUGAGUUCAUACUAUUAUAAAUAAAUUACUGAGUAAAUUAAUAAAUGGGAGAGAAGACGGAAAUCUUCCCAGCAGGAGAAUUGUAAUCAUUACUCCACGCUAAAGGAGAAUGAGCCCUUGUUCCUUAAGUAAGGGCUGUGUGUAGUGACUUCCCUCAAAAAAUGCAAGAUGGAGAGCAGGAACAAAAGAAUAACUUUACCAUGGAGAAAUCUGACAAACACUAUAGUGGCCUCCCUCAAAAAAUGCAUGAUGGAAAGCGGAACAAAAGAAUAACUUUACCAUGGAGAAAUCUGACAAACACUAUUUCAAUCAGAUGAUCGAGGCCAACAUUAAUAGUAGUAAAUCAUGGUGGUCCUGUGUAGCCUUAACAUGCUGUGUUGUAAAUGAUGCUUUACUUAUGUGAUCUUGCUCCCAAAAAUCUGUAGCCUAUCCAGUUUAUGAGAAUACCAUUUUAAAAAUUUGUAGAGGUGCAUCCUACAAUAUGCCUGAUGAGUAUUCCUCAAAACUAUCAGGGUCAUCAAAAAAAGUCAAGUCCAAGAAAUGGUCACAGACGAGAGGAGGCUAAGGAGAGCCAACAGCUGAAUGUAAUUUGAUAUCUGGAUGGGAUCCUGAAACAGGAAAAGGACCCUAGGUAAGGGGCUGGCACUGUGGCAUAGUGGGUUAAGCCUCUGCCUUUGGCGCCAAAAUCCCAUAUGGGCGCCAGUUCGAGUCCCGGCUGCUCCCCUUCUGAUCCAGCUCUCUGCCAUCUGGGGAGUGAACCAGUAGAUGGAAGACCUUUCUUUCUUUCUCUUUCUCUGUAUGUAACUCUACCUCUCAAAUAAAUAAAUAAAAUCUUUUUUAAAGAAGGAUGUUAGGUAAAAAGAAACCUGAACUUUACUUGAUCUAAAGCAUCUAUAUUGGUCAAUAGAAUCAUAAUAAUGUAAGAUAAUUAAUUAGAGGAAUUAUGUGUUGAUGAUUACAGGAAGUGUAGGGGGGGAGAGGAAUAUUUGGAAACUUUUAUGGUUUACUAAUUUUUGUUUGUAAAUAUAAAACUAUUGUUUAAAAAGUCUAUUAAAA